UACGGAGGGUGCAAGCGUUAUCCGGAUUCACUGGGUUUAAAGGGUGCGUAGGCGGGUAUAUAAGUCAGUGGUGAAAGCUCCGGGCUUAACUUGGAAACUGCCAUUGAUACUGUAUAUCUUGAAUGUCGUUGAGGUAAGCGGAAUGUUGCAUGUAGCGGUGAAAUGCUUAGAUAUGUUACAGAACACCAAUUGUGAAGACAGCUUACUAAGCGAUAAUUGACGCUGAGGCACGAAAGCGUGGGGAGCGAACAGG
rnacentral:rRNA from 1 species